rnacentral:rRNA from 1 species
CCUACGGGAGGCAGCAGUGAGGAAUAUUGGUCAAUGGACGAGAGUCUGAACCAGCCAAGUAGCGUGAAGGAUGACUGCCCUAUGGGUGGUAAACUUCUUUUAUAGGGGAGUAAAACGGGGCAAGUAUACCUUUUUGCAUGUACUUUAUGAAUAAGGAUCGGCUAACUCCGUGCCAGCAGCCGCGGUAAUACGGAGGAUCCGAGCGUUAUCCGGAUUUAUUGGGUUUAAAGGGAGCGUAGAUGGGUUGUUAAGUCAGUUGUGAAAGUUUGCGGCUCAACCGUAAAAUUGCAAUUGAUACUGGCAGUCUUGAGUACAGUAGAGGUAGGCGGAAUUCGUGGUGUAGCGGUGAAAUGCUUAGAUAUCACGAAGAACCCCGAUUGCGAAGGCAGCUUACUAAACUGCGACUGACACUGAUGCUCGAAAGUGUGGGUAUCAAACAGGAUUAGAUACCCCUGUAGUC